AGAUGAUGCUAACUCACAUCAUCGAAAUGCAGAUGGAUUACAUAAAUACUUCGCAUCCUAAUUUUAUUGGUGGCAACAAGGCUGUAGAGAUUGCCCAGCAACAAGUAAAGUCAGCUAGGUUAUCCACAUCAAUGGCUAGAGCCAAGGAAGGCGUAGACAAUGAUAAGCUACCGGCUUCUGAUAAAAAUUCAAAAUCUCGAACUUUUCUAGUUAGAUCAACU
rnacentral:misc_RNA from 1 species